rnacentral:rRNA from 1 species
CUGGCGGCAUGCCUAAUACAUGCAAGUCGAACGAUGAUAUCACUGCUUGCAGUGAUUGAUUAGUGGCGAACGGGUGAGUAACACGUGAGGAACUUGCCCAUGAGCGGGGGACAACAUUCGGAAACGGAUGCUAAUACCCCAUAGGUGGAUUGGUCGCAUGACUAAUUCAUUAAAGGUGGCUUUGCUACCACUCAUGGAUAGCCUCGCGGCGUAUUAGCUAGUUGGUAAGGUAAUGGCUUACCAAGGCAGUGAUACGUAGCCGACUUGAGAGGGUGAUCGGCCACACUGGGACUGAGACACGGCCCAGACUCCUACGGGAGGCAGCAGUAGGGAAUCUUCCACAAUGGGUGCAAACCUGAUGGAGCAAUGCCGCGUGAGUGAAGAAGGUCUUCGGAUCGUAAAGCUCUGUUGUUAGAGAAGAACACGUGCUAGGUAACUACUAGCGCCUUGACGGUAUCUAACCAGAAAGUCACGGCUAACUACGUGCCAGCAGCCGCGGUAAUACGUAGGUGACAAGCGUUGUCCGGAUUUAUUGGGCGUAAAGGGAGCGCAGGCGGUCUGUUUAGUCUAAUGUGAAAGCCCACGGCUUAACCGUGGAACGGCAUUGGAAACUGACAGACUUGAAUGUAGAAGAGGAAAAUGGAAUUCCAAGUGUAGCGGUGGAAUGCGUAGAUAUUUGGAGGAACACCAGUGGCGAAGGCGAUUUUCUGGUCUAACAUUGACGCUGAGGCUCGAAAGCGUGGGGAGCGAACAGGAUUAGAUACCCUGGUAGUCCACGCCGUAAACGAUGAGUGCUAAGUGUUGGGGGCUUUCCGGCCCUCGGUGCUGGAGCUAACGUAUUAAGCACUCCGCCUGGGGAUUACGACCGCAAGGUUGAAA